CCUACGGGUGGCAGCAGUGAGGAAUAUUGGUCAAUGGACGAGAGUCUGAACCAGCCAAGUAGCGUGAAGGAUGACUGCCCUAUGGGUUGUAAACUUCUUUUAUAUGGGACUAAAAUGUUCCACGUGUGGGAUUUUGUAUGUACCAUGUGAAUAAGGAUCGGCUAACUCCGUGCCAGCAGCCGCGGUAAUACGGAGGAUCCGCGCGUUAUCCGGAUUUAUUGGGUUUAAAGGGAGCGUAGGUGGAUUGUUAAGUCAGGUGGGAAAGUUUGCGGCUCAACCGUAAAAGUGCAGUUGAAACUGGCAGUCUUGAGUGCAGUAGAGGUGGGCGGAAGGCGUGGUGUAGCGGUGAAAUGCUUAGAUAUCACGAAGAACUCCGAUUGCGAAGGCAGUUCACUGGACUGCAACUGACGCUGAGGCACGAAAGUGUGGGUAUCGAACAGGAUUAGAUACCCCGGUAGUC
rnacentral:rRNA from 1 species